AUGCCGGAUCUUGGGGCGAACAACGGAGGCGGAGGACUUGGAGCUCCGGACGUCGGCGCAACUGGAGCAUGGGGAGGCGAAGCAGGCGGGAGCAUAGGAGAGGUAGAGGCGUCGGGCUCCGGCGACAGGAUGGACAUUGGCGACAGGGACAGCACGGGACGUCGGACCGAAGAGCGAGCGUCGCUCGGCGGCAGGGCCGGCGCUGGACGUGGCUGCCGGAGGGAGAUCGGGCGCGGGCGUCGGAGACGGGUGCUCGCGGCAGGAGGGGAUCGGGUCGAGGCGCGAUGGAAGGAGGGGCCGGCGCGGGAUCCAGGCAGCAGAGGGAGGAGGGCCACAGAUCGGGAGGCGCGGGCGUGCGCUCCUCUCUGGUGCAUUGUGUGUGUGGUGGCGGCGCUGAGGAAACGAACGGGAGGAGGAGGGAACGAGAGAAGGGGUGCGCGAUUGGGAUUGGGGAAACAGUCGGGCUAG
rnacentral:rRNA from 1 species